rnacentral:rRNA from 1 species
UACGAAGGGGGCUAGCGUUGCUCGGAAUUACUGGGCGUAAAGCGCACGUAGGCGGCUUCUUAAGUCGGUGGUGAAAUCCUGGAGCUCAACUCCAGAACUGCCUUCGAUACUGGGAAGCUCGAGUCCGGGAGAGGUGAGUGGGACUGCGAGUGUAGAGGUGAAAUUCGUAGAUACUCGCAAGAACACCAGUGGCGAAGGCGGCUCACUGGCCCGGUACUGACGCUGAGGUGCGAAAGCGUGGGGAGCAAACAGG